rnacentral:rRNA from 1 species
CAAUAGCGUAUAUUAAAGUUGUUGCAGUUAAAAAGCUCGUAGUUGAAAUUGAGGACAUGGGAGAUUGUGCACCUGAAAGGGGGCGACGAUUUUGACAGGUCCAGGAAUGUAGCGACGCCAUGUGCACUUUGGUGUGUGUGUGGUAGAGGUACAGGAUCACUUUGAAAAAAUUAGAGUGUUUAAAGCAGGCAUAGCUUGAAUACAUUAGCAUGGAAUGAUAGAAUAGGACUUUCGCUCUAUUUUGUUGGUUUCUAGAGAGAAGGAAAUGAUAAAGAGGAACAGUCGGGGGCACUCGUAUUUCAUUGUCAGAGGUGAAAUUCUUGGAUUUAUGAAAGACGAACUUUUGCGAAAGCAUUUGCCAAGGAUGUUUUCAUUAA